UGUUGCCUGCCUUUCAAGAUGUAGGACUCUUAGCUCUGGCAUCAUGUCUGCCUGCAUGCUGCAUGUCCCACCAUGAUGAUAAUGGACUGAACCUCGGAAACUACAGUUGGAAGAUCUUAGAGCAAAGGUUGGUGUUAAUCCGGAAGCUGAGACUGGUGGGCAUAGACAGCACUGGAAUGCCAGCUGCUCAGGAGGCUGAGGGAUAAUCACAGGCUCGAGGUGUCAGUGAAAAGCAGCUCUCACCUCAAAGGAAGACACAGAUGUUUUAUUCUAGAGCCAAACACGAGAGAUACAGCCCAGAACAGAUUUGAGUUUCUCCAAAUACCACGUUCCAAUGAGAGAGCAAAGAGCAUUAUCCACACAGAUAAGCACUGGAGAAGCCAGGAAAAUUAAACACGAAGCUCACCUCUUCAAAGGAAUGCGGUUCAAAGCUGCUCUUCCUGGAACGCUAGGAAUGAUGCCCUUUUAUUACCUGGUGAUCCCAGUGGCAACACUCGGGAGAGUAGGCCCUGCACCUUGCCAGGGCAGCACAAAAGAGCCAACAUGUUAGGCCAGGUGUAGGUGACCAUGGGAGAGCUGUCCUCAUUUCCCAUCUGUGGGACCAACCCUAGAGCUGUGCAGGCCCAGACCCAGGGUUAUGACUUGGCCUGCCCCAAUAUCCACCCCAUCUAUAGUCUGUGGGAGCACGUUAAGGGACCUGAUCUGCAGACCCAAAGCUGCAGGAUCUCCAUAUCACACAGUGGCAGAGUCCUGGUGGGGCCUUGAACCAGACCAAUGACUUUGCAAUGAACACUUGCAAGUAGAAAUGAAUGGACAAAGGGGUAUUCAGUGUGACUUGUUGGGUAGCACUACAGCUUCCAUGGUGAGAUUAUUAAUUCCUUCCUUUUAAAAUUCUUUCUUAUUUUAUUUUCUUCCUUUCAUUCUCUUGAAUUUUGUUUUACUCAGGGGUGGGGUGCAGGGGCAGAAGGUGGAUGAGAAGAGACAGGGAAUGAAUGGAAUCAAGAUACAUGAUUCGAAAAACAUAUGUAAUAAAGAAAUGUUUUUAAAAAUUAAAAAAAAAAAAACAGCUCGGAGGUUAAGAGCACUGACUGUUCUUCCUGAGGUCCUGAGUUCAAUUCCCAGCAACCACAUAGUAUCUCACAACCAUCCGUAAUGAGAUCUGGUGCCCUCUUCUGGUGUGCAGAUAUACAUGGAAGCAGAAUGUUGUAUACAUAAUAAAGAAAUAAAAUCUUUUAAAAAACUUUAAAAAAACAACUCACCAGUCU
rnacentral:lncRNA from 1 species